GUCUUUUUGAUAAUAAUUUAAAGUCUGACCUGCCCAAUGAUUGAGUUGAAUGGCUGCAGUAUUUUGACUGUACAAAGGUAGCAUAAUCAUUAGUUUUUUAAUUGAAAGCUGGUAUGAAGGGUUUGAUGAGAAAUAAGCUGUCUCUGGGCUAAAAAUUUGAAUUUUAUUUUUAAGUAAAAAAGCUUAAAUAAGGGAAAAAGACGAGAAGACCCUAUAGAAUUUUAUAUAUAAAGAAUAUAAAAUUAAAGGUUAAAAUUUUUUUAUUUGGCGUAUAUUUGGUUGGGGUGAUAGAAAAAUUUAAAAAACUUUUUUUUAUUUUUAAUAUAAAUUUAUAGAAAAAUGAUCUUAAUUUUUAAAUUAAAAGAUUAAAUUACCUUAGGGAUAACAGCGUAAUUUUUUUUAAAGAUCUUAUUGAAUAAAGAGAUUGCGACCUCGAUGUUGGAUUAAAGUUAAAUUUUGGUGUAGAAGUUAAAAAUUUAAGUCUGUUCGACUUUUAAAACUUUACA
rnacentral:rRNA from 1 species